rnacentral:misc_RNA from 1 species
GAAAUGCGAUAAGUAAUGUGAAUUGCAGAAUUCCGUGAAUCAUCGAAUCUUUGAACGCACAUUGCGCCCUCUGGUAUUCCGGGGGGCAUGCCUGUCCGAGCGUCAUUGCACACCCUCAAGCGCGGCUUGUGUGUUGGGCCCCCGCGUCCUUGCCAUUUAAAGGACGGGCCCGAAAGGCAGUGGCGGCGUCGCGGUUAUCCGAUCAGCCAGAGCGUAUGGGGACUCUGUUCACACGCUCGCGGCGCGGACCGGCGCUGGCCGACCCCCCUAACCAUUCUACGGUUUGACCUCGGAUCAGGUAGGGAUACCCGCUGAACUUAAGC